rnacentral:tRNA from 1 species
AGCUUCUUAGUUUAAAUAAAAAUAUUUACUUGUGGUGUAAAAGUUUUUUAGUUGCUU